rnacentral:lncRNA from 1 species
AUAUGACAUGAUUUUCCAUAGAGGUAUAUAAUGUGAAAUGGUUAAAUCAAGCUGAUUACCGUAUCUAUUAGAUCACUAUCAUACUUAUCAUAAUUUAUAAGUAUCAUAGUUAUCAUUAGUAAAAGUACCAUAUACUAAAUAUUUCAUGGUGAGAACAUUUAAAAUCUACUCUUUGGGCAACUCUGAAUUGUAGGAUACCUUAUUUUUAACAAUGCAAUAGAUCUCAAAAUCAUAAUCCUCUGUCUAAUGGAAUGAAACUUCUCUCCCUUCGACCAAUCUGCCCAUUCCCCUGUUUCACACGUGGUAACCCACCAUUCUACUCUCUGCUCCUAUAAUUUCUAUUUUUUAGAUUCUACAUAUUACUGAGAUCAUGUAGACUUUGUCUGUCUGUGCAUGGCUUAUUUCAAUUAGCAUAAGGUCCUCCAGUUCCGAACAUUCAGUUGCAAAUGACAGAAUUCACUUCUUCUUAAAGACGGAAUGUUAUUCCUUUGUGUAUACAUACCACAUUUUCUGGUCCCUCUACCAGUUGAAGGGUGGAUUCCAUAUCCUGGUCCUUGUGAAAGAUGCUGCCAUGGACAUGGGAAGGUACCUCUGUCUCCAGAAAUGGUCUCAUUCUCAUCUUUGAUUGCAACUAUUUACCACACUGACCAACCAGCAUAUCGAUCAAAUCUUCAUACUGCUAUUACUUUACAUUAGAUGCCUUUUUAUUAAUCUCUCCCUCUUUAUUAUACACCAUAAUCAAUGUAAAGAAUAUUUUCUGGACAAGGAAAGAUUCAUGACUAAAGGAAUGAAUCUUUGUAGCAUACUCACAAUUUCUAUUUUCUUUUUGGGAAAAAAGAAAAAUGAAAGAAAUUAAUUCAAUUAGUAAAUACAAACGUUGCUAUAGUUCAGGGACAACUCUAAAUAGAACCAUCAUACUUAAUUAAAUAUUUGGAUUGGUUUAAAAGAGUAUUCUCCUUUAUAACCACUGAGAGCUACUUUAUAACAAUUGAGAGUAACCCAGUCUCCCUUCCACUAUUUGCAUUGAUCAGGAACAAGGAACAGUUAGAUGAAACUUAGCUAGAAAAUAAUAUAUGUUUCUUUUAUUCUAUCCACACCUUUUAC